rnacentral:pre_miRNA from 1 species
UGCACAUUGGACCGUCGGUCUACUGAACAAACAUACCCACUCGGUAGAAGAUCGUUCCUUUGUCGG